CUACGGGACGCACCAGUGGGGAAUAUUGCACAAUGGAGGAAACUCUGAUGCAGUAACGCCGCGUGGAGGAUGACACUUUUCGGAGCGUAAACUCCUUUUAUAUAGGAAGAAGAUGACGGUACUAUAUGAAUAAGCGCCGGCUAACUCCGUGCCAGCAGCCGCGGUAAUACGGAGGGUGCAAGCGUUACUCGGAAUCACUGGGCGUAAAGAGCGUGUGGGCGGAUUAAAAAGUCAGAAGUGAAAUCCUAUAGCUUAACUAUAGAACUGCUUCUGAAACUCUUAAUCUAGAAUAUGGGAGAGGUAGAUGGAAUUUCUGGUGUAGGGGUAAAAUCCGUAGAGAUCAGGAGGAAUACCGAUUGCGAAGGCGAUCUACUAGAACAUUAUUGACGCUGAGACGCGAAAGCGUGGGGAGCAAACAGGAUUAGAUACCCCCGGUAGUC
rnacentral:rRNA from 1 species